UGUAAUGAAUGCUCUUCUUCUCUUCAUUGAAGGAUAUAAGGAAGGUGUGAUUGACCGUCAGGAACUAAUCGCUCUGUUAAUAGAUGUCCUCUACCAACAGUGAGAUAUGCUCAGAGCAAAGAGAAAGCGUGUUCUGUUUGACUAUGUCAAGGAAUGUAUCGAGAAGAGGUGUGAUCCUCCUUGGAUCAAGGAAAAGUUCAUUAACGAUAAAAAAGGACGUGGAGUUAUUGCUGGGGAGGACAUCCCAGAGGGCCAAUUUUUGGCUGAGUAUUCAGGGAUUUUACUGACAGGAGAUGUUGGAAAACAAAAGGAGGAGUGUGAAGACACUCCCAGUGUCUUCCGAUAUUUUUUCAAGUGGAAAGGGAAAGAAUGGUGUUAUGAUGCAACUGAAGAACCAACUAGUGGUCCACGACUCGGCAGACUGGUCAACCACGGCGAUAAAUGUGAAAGAAACAGUAAGAUGAAGGUUAUAAGUUCUGUGGAAAGUAGACCUCUACUCUGCCUAUUCAGCUC